CACCAGCUGGACAUGUGGCCUGGCAGUACGCCCACACGAACCAUGGAUUUUCAGACUGACAUAUGACCUGUGAAGAUGUGUGCCGUCACCCCGAACCCUUGCCUAAAGAUGGAUAAGGACAAGGAUGGAGUUUUAAGAGGAAAGUUUCACUAAAAAGUUGCCCGAUGGAUCUUUGGAGAAAACAAAAGUUUUCUGCACAGUUUGCAAAGCCGAAUUUUAAUAACCACAGAAGCAACUCGUCUUUGACAUAUCACCUCAAAGCAAAACACCCUCCUGAGCACUGAUGGUUCUAAUAACAUGGUUGCAGCCACAACAGUACUUCCAUCUGAACACCUACCCCGCAUGGCCCACAGGCAGCAAGAGUACUUCCAUCUGAACACCUACCCCACAUGGCCCACAUCUGAAAACCGACCCCGCAUGGCCCACAGGCAGCAAAGGACAGUCAUGCUUUCCCUUCACCAAAGUGUUCUGGCCAAAUGGCAAGAUUUGCCAAGUGUUCCAGGCAAGAUUAUCGAUCACUUUAAGCACAGUCCAUCAAGCGGUCAGGAAGAGAUCAGCAAGCUACACUUGGACCGAAGCAAGCAUAAUUUGUUCCGGACGUGGAAACUGGAUGGAAUUCUACCCUAGAGAUGGUCAAGCGAGUCCAGUGAAAAAAAUCUCCACUGACUGAUGGAGAUCAUUUCCAAACACUGUUAAUGACUUAAGAAUAUAAUAAUCAAGUGCCUUGUAUUAUUAAUUACCUUAUAUGAAUCAUGUACUUAUGUAAGCAGGAACAUGGCUUUUCUGUGUUUCUGCGUGUGUGUAACUUAGAAUAUUAGGUGCCACUUAGUCUGCAUAUGUACAAGAGCAUGUUUAGACCAGAGGUGAUAAGAAGAGUCGAACUGUGCUUCUUCCGACCUUGCAAAACUUCCAUCCACGGACGUCAGAAGUCCAUCACGUGGUUAUCCCUACUGAACGCUAAACUUCUGUCUAUAUAAACCUUGUGCGAUGUGUUUAAUAUUGCUUCACUUUCAGCCUUGUGCUGGGAGUGAGCCCGAUUGCAAUUGUUGUUUGUCUAAUAAAUAUACUUACAGUAUAUGCAGCUCCGGAGUCCUGAGGUAACUAGGGUGAAUUUUCACCUAUCACUGACCACUACAAUGGCUCAGCAAAACAGCAAAGAAGCAAGACAUUUCUCUUCUGCCGUGUUGACUGCAGAGGAGCUUGCCAAACUGCAAAAGCUGGAGGAAAUAAUUGAACUAUGCAAGUUAAUGUUUCUUUCUUCUUUCUCUCUCUCUCUCUCUCAUGUGCUGUUUUCUCUCUCUCCCUCCCUCGGUCUGUGCUCAGAGAGUUUUGAUAACGGAGUUCAAGGCCCAUUAGGUAUGGUGGACCGGCAGAGAACGCAAGUGCACUGUCUGUGCGUUAUGCUCAGCCACUUCACGCUGCCGCUGUUCCUGCGCACGCCGGGCACUUAGCGGUCUGCGCGGCAUUCAGGCCUUUUUUGUGCGAUGCAUUGUGGAACGUUACCGUUACAGCAAUAAAAAGCAUUCGUCAAAACAAACGCUAACAAACAACAGUAUUUGAAUUUGAAUAUACUUCCUCUGUGUUGAUUCUACAUUAAUUAUGUGCUUUAUAUAAACAUCCAUUAUUACAAGCUUCAGUCUUAAGGGGAAAAAAAUUGCAAAUUAUUCAAUUAAUCAGUUAUUGUUCUUAUUGAUCAACAGCCCUACUUUGCAGACAUAUGUUGAGCCAGCGACUCUAAGAAACUGAACAAAGUGAUAAAAGAAGGCUGGCUCUGUGCAGGGGACUGUUCCGGAGCCCCUAGAGUUGGCUGUGGAGAGAAGGAUGUUGCGCAUGCUGGCCAACACUACACACUCCCUACACAACCUACUGGUCAGACAGCAGUGUUUCAGUUGGAGGCUCCUUCAGCUCCGCUGCAAUAAGGACCAUUACAGGAGGUCAUUCCUGUCCACUGCAACAGCCAUCUACAAUGACUCCCCUCUGUGCCGCGAGAGGAGACGACUCCUCUUAGAGUGGAAAUGCACAAUGCACAUUUUACAUUUCAUUUGCACAUAAUAAUAGCAAUAUCUUGCCUCUAGCGCUGGUGGGUUCUUCAAAAAAGACAACUUGCAAUCAUCAUGUCUUUUGGUUGCAGGCCUUUUAUUUUGAAGCAACAGGCAAGGAAACACUGAUACAUGCUGAGUGAGACAGAAGACAGGUCUAUCUUUGACGCUAACUAACAUAGGGGCUAACACACACAGACUUUAAAUGGCAUAUGACACAGACAGCGUAGCUAACGUUCACACACACGUUGGACACAAAAGGG
ensembl:lncRNA